CAGCUUGCUGGAUGCUGACGAGCGGCGGACGGGUGAGUAAUGCAUAGGAAUCUGCCCGAUAGUGGGGGAUAACCUGGGGAAACCCAGGCUAAUACCGCAUACGUCCUACGGGAGAAAGGGGGCUCCGGCUCCCGCUAUGGGAUGAGCCUAUGUCGGAUUAGCUAGUUGGUGAGGUAACGGCUCACCAAGGCCACGAUCCGUAGCUGGUCUGAGAGGAUGAUCAGCCACAUCGGGACUGAGACACGGCCCGAACUCCUACGGGAGGCAGCAGUGGGGAAUAUUGGACAAUGGGGGAAACCCUGAUCCAGCCAUGCCGCGUGUGUGAAGAAGGCCCUCGGGUUGUAAAGCACUUUCAGCGAGGAAGAACGCCUAGCGGUUAAUACCCGCUAGGAAAGACAUCACUCGCAGAAGAAGCACCGGCUAACUCCGUGCCAGCAGCCGCGGUAAUACGGAGGGUGCAAGCGUUAAUCGGAAUUACUGGGCGUAAAGCGCGCGUAGGUGGCUUGAUAAGCCGGUUGUGAAAGCCCCGGGCUCAACCUGGGAACGGCAUCCGGAACUGUCAAGCUAGAGUGCAGGAGAGGAAGGUAGAAUUCCCGGUGUAGCGGUGAAAUGCGUAGAGAUCGGGAGGAAUACCAGUGGCGAAGGCGGCCUUCUGGACUGACACUGACACUGAGGUGCGAAAGCGUGGGUAGCAAACAGGAUUAGAUACCCUGGUAGUCCACGCCGUAAACGAUGUCGACCAGCCGUUGGGUGCCUAGCGCACUUUGUGGCGAAGUUAACGCGAUAAGUCGACCGCCUGGGGAGUACGGCCGCAAGGUUAAAACUCAAAUGAAUUGACGGGGGCCCGCACAAGCGGUGGAGCAUGUGGUUUAAUUCGAUGCAACGCGAAGAACC
rnacentral:rRNA from 1 species